GAGUUUGAUCAUGGCUCAGAUUGAACGCUGGCGGCAUGCCUAACACAUGCAAGUCGAACGGCAGCACUGGGAGCUUGCUCCCUGGUGGCGAGUGGCGGACGGGUGAGUAACGCGUAGGAAUCUGCCUCAUAGCGGGGGACAACUCGGGGAAACUCGAGCUAAUACCGCAUACUACUCGAGAGAGGAAAGCAGGGGGACCUUCGGGCCUUGCACUAUGAGAUGAGCCUGCGUUGGA
rnacentral:rRNA from 1 species